rnacentral:lncRNA from 1 species
UUUUUUUAUUUUUUUAUUUUUUUUUUGUCUUUUUGUCUUUUGUCUUUUGUUGUUGUUGCUAUUUCUUGGGCCGCUCCCGCGGCAUAUGGAGGUUCCCAGGCUAGGGGUCGAAUCGGAACUGUAGCCUCCGGCCUACGCCAGAGCCACAGCAACGCGGGAUCCGAGCCGCGUCUGCAACCUACACCACAGCUCACGGCAACGCCGGAUCGUUAACCCACUGAGCAAGGGCAGGGACCGAACCCGCCACCUCAUGGUUCCUAGUCGGAUUCGUUAACCACUGUGCCACGACGGGAACUCCUAUUUUUUUAACAUUAUAUUUUUCCAAUUCAUGGGGAAUGAACUUGGUAAAAUUAGUGAAAUACAGGUCUGAUUUACAUUUUUUCCAACCAUUUUUAUUGACUAGUCCAUCUUUUAAAUAUAAGGUCACGUUUAUCUUAUACUAAAUUCUUGUGCACACUGGAUCCAUUUAAGGAAUUCUCUAAUCACUUCCACUAGUCUGCUACAUGGGCUAUCUUUCUUAUAAUUUUAACUUAUUUAGUUUGAAUACACAACACAGUCAUAUGCUUGGAAAUUCAGAAAACAUUAAAGGGUAUAUAGGAAAAUGUUUGCCUACUCCAUUACUCUUUUUCCCACCAAAUCAAGUCCUAUAAGCAAAAAACUGGCCCCUGACUACUCUUUUUGAAAAACGGUGUAUCAUAAGAAUUGUUACGCAUCUUACCCUUUCUAAAGCUAAACAAUAAACUCUACUAUGUCAGUACAAAAGGGGCUUCUUCCAUUUUUUCAUUGCAUGAAUGGAACAUAAUAUAUUCAAUCUUCUGUUGAUGGAUGUUAGGUUUUUUCCAAAACUUCUGCUGCUACAAAAAAUACCAGAAUCAAUAACCGUACAAACUUCUUUUUGCAUGUGUGAGUGCAUGUGAAGCAUAUUUCUAGAAAUGUGAUUACUAGAUCAAAGGAUAAAUGCAUUUGUAUUUAUAAAAGACAUUGACAAAUUGCCAUCCAUAAAGGUUGCUCAUCUAUGCAGCCAUUGUUAUAUUUUACAGUAAUUGUUUGGUGGUAGUUUUGUUCGGUAGUUGCUUAGUCUACCAGUGAUGGAUAAAAAUGUCUGUCUCCAUUCUCCCAUACACAUACAGUAUGUGAUAUUUGGUAGUAUUGAACUUUACCCAGGUUUUGUUUAAAUAACAUUAAAUAAUUAAAUAGCAGGGUUUCUAAAAAAAUUUUUUUGACAAUUCAGAGAUUUAUGGGUUGUGAGACAUUUCUAUUUAAUGACACAUUCCCCACAUAGGAAAUCUUUUGGAUUUUUCAUUUUAAUUUAAGUUUGCACUCAUUGUAAUUUCUGCCAUUGUUUAUUUUGUGUACUUUUAACAUAGGAUUUAUAGAUAGAAAGAUUAAAUUAAGUACAUUGUUUUAUUGCUAAUACAUUAUUUCUUACACAUCUAAAACCUUAUAUCUAAUAAUGCCUUAAAUGUUUGAAAUUGUGUGAGUUUAAACUCUAAAAUUUAGAUAUGUUUUAGUAAAUUAGAAUGUAAUGCAAACAGAAAAAAGAAAAAAAGUUUCUAAAUCAAGUCUCUUCCCAAGUUAUCUAAUCUUACCUCAGGGGGUACUUUUAUCUCAUGAACAGAAUAUGAGAAGUUUCAUAUACGACAAAGCAAGAAAGUUUUCAAAUAAAUCUUGGGACAAAUCAUAGUUUGACUUAUGGCUUCAAUAAUUAUUAUCAAAAUUGCAACAAAACAGGAGUUCCCAUCAUGGCAUGGAAGAAAUAAAUCUGACUAGGAACCAGGAGGUUGCAGGUUCGAUCCCUGGCCUUGCUCAGUGAGUUAAGGAUCUGGCGUUUCCAUGGCUGUGGUGUAGCUCACAGCAAUGCCGGAUCCUCAACCCACUGAGCAAGGCCAGGGAUCGAACACGCAACCUCAUGGUUCCUAGUUGGAUACGUUAACCACUGAGGCACGAUGGGAACUCCAGUAUAACCAUUUUAUAGACAAACUUGCCUGAAUACUUAGCAGAUACUUAAGCUACUCAAUAGCUUAGAAUUAAUCUUGAGGAUUUACUUUCACUUCCCCUCACGCCCCACUUUUUUUUUUCUUUUUAGGGUGACACCCAUGGCAUGUGGAAAUUGAGGCUAGGAGUUGAAUCGGAGCUGCAGCUGCCAGCUGCAGCCACAACGAUGCCAGAUCCCAGCCACAUCUGGGACUACACCACGGCUCAUGGCAAUGAAGGAUCCUUAACCCACUGAGCCAGGUCAGGGAUCGAAUAUGCAUCUUCAUGGAUACUAGUCGGGUUCUUAACCCAUUGUACCACAAGGGAACUCUCUACUUUCCUUUUUUAAAAAUGACUUCUUUUUAUUUUAUUACACUUUGGUUUCAAGGAAUAGCAUGCUCCUGCAAAGAGCACUCUGCUCGUGUUGGCUCUUUGUGUCCUGCAUAGCCACCUCCCCAUCAAGACUAGAACACUUCCUGUAUUCCUUAGCAUCCUCUUGUGCCUCCUUCUGAUUUAUAUCACCCUAUCUCAGAAUUAACCCCUUGUAUUCAUUUCCUGUGGCGACUGUAACAAGUGACCCCAAGUGUGAUGAAUUAAAAACCAGAAAUUCAUUUUUAUAGCUUUGGAGACCGCAAGUCCAAAAUUAAGGCAUUGCAAGGGCUGUCCUCCCUCUGAAGGCUCUAGGGGAAGAAACCGGCCAGCCCCUUCUAGGCUCCAGCGGUCCCAGGCAUUCCGAGGCUUGGGGCUUCACUACUUCAGUCUCUGCUUCCAUCAUCAUAGGGCCUCUUCCUUCUCUGUGUCUCUCCUGUAUAUGUCUCUUAUGUGAACACGUCAUUGGAUUUAGAGCCCAUUUGGAAAAUCCAAGAUAAAUCUCAUUUUAAGAUCUUUAAUUAUAUCUGUAAAGACCCUUUUUCUAAAAAAAAGAAAGAAAGAAAGAAAGAAAAAGAAAAAGGAAGAAAGAAAGAAAAAGAAAAAGUCACAUCGUCACAUCCAAAGAGUCUAGGGCUUAGAGUGUGGACAUAUUUUUGGGGGAAGCCACCUUCAAUCUUACUACACUCCUGUUUUGAAUUCUAUCACCAUAGUUAAGUGUUGCCUUUUCUUAAACUUCAUAAAAAUGGAAUUGUACUUAUGCCAUCUCUGUGUCUGGCUUAGUUCACUGUUUUCCUUUUUAAAAAGAAAUCUGCAGAGGAAAGGCUUCUUGAACAACUCUUCAGUUAAUCGGGUUUUCUGUGAGACCAGAAGGACCUGAGUAGACAGUGAUGAUAAAAUCUGGCAGCUUCUGCAAAGCACUUACCAGUCUAGUCUCCCCAUCGAGCUCAUCUACAUUUGAUCUAGGUGUGUUAACAUGAGAUUCCUCAGUUCUAGAAGAAUCCGUAUAUAGCAGUUGAACCCACUCCCACUGAACUUUCAUGUAAGAGUGCCUUGGAAAGAAUCAAUUGAGGUAUAGCCUUGCUAUGAAUAAUAAUAACGUCAAAGUUACAAAUAAAAAGAGAUUCUUUCAUAGCUCUAGAUUCAGCCCUUUUCAUUUACCUGAGAUUCAUUGUAAUGCAUUUGUUUCCUCCUCUUUAAUGAAUGGAUAUUUCUUCCCUAAAAUUUAAAUUCCGUUUCAAAUACAUAUUUAUGAUAUCAUUGUCUGUGCUCAAGCAGGCGAUUUCAAGAUGAUCUAUAAGUAUAACCAUGCAAAUUCACUGCUCAAAUGAAUUCUGCCAAGAUAUUUCUCGUUAAUCUUGGGAACAUUGCAGGUGCAUUUAUUAAUACAGAGGACUUUGUGGUAGAAUGCGUGAUCCUUUCUGACAUAUUAAGCUAUUUUUAAUUUGCUCUUAUCAUUGAAAGCUUCUCUUUUUCAAAGAUAUUAGAUAACUCUAGGGUGUUAAGCAACAUAGAGUUAUUUGGGGGCACAAGGGAGAGCAGGAGCAGUUAUUAAUCUUAUGCAAAAAUGCCUAUCUAAUUUUCAAAGGAUCCAGGCACCACCACAAAUGAGAAGAUCCAUGGAGUAUCUGGGAGGAAGAUAAUAUCCUGCUUAUUUAAUUGAUCCUCUGUUACUUUUCUCUUGGUAGGUAUAGUUCACUAAUGGAAUUUGCGCAGUGCCAUCAUUAUUAAAAAUGUCAGUGUGACAUUUGAUUCAUCCAGUCUAUUUAGAUUUGGAACACAAAUCAUGUAUUUAUUCUAACAACAUAAUUGAUUAAUGCUCCCCACUUCUGUCUUCACUAUAUUUAGAGAUUUUUCUUAACAUUUCCAUCUUUACCCUAUAAGUAUGUUAUACCCCUCUUUAGGUUGGGGCCAUGCCAUAGGUUCAGCCUAUGUAAUAUUACAGUGAUUGGUAGCACGCUAGGAACUUGUAUCAAUGUUGUCAUCAGUUUUAUUUAAAGUUUAACAAUUGAUGGAUUUCUAAUGUGCUGGGCAUUGAGUGCAGGGUUUUAUGGCUCUCUUCACUUUAGGGUUCCUUGGUUCGGCUCUCUUUUUCCCUAGGCUCACGUAAGUCCCCUUUUGCCAUAUUCAAGGUUGACAUUAUCAGUGGGAGGGCCCAGGGAAUGAAGGAAGUUAAGAUGUACAACACGAUGAGUGUCCAGGUGAGAAGAUUCAUUUUAUUCAUCAAUUUAUUUACUUAACAAAGGUUUACUAGAUGCCUCUUACAGAUUCCAGGUUCUAGGAAACCGCAGUGAAAGGAGACCCAUCCUUUUGAGAGAUUUGCAUUCUCUUUGGGGGCUAUAAAUUCUAAAUAACUAGUGCAGAUUGUAGUAGGAAGGAAGGAAACAGAGUUAUAGAAAUAUGUCUUAGGAGGAUGGGGGCCAGGUGUAAAUUUGGUGUUCUGGGGAGUUCCCAUUGUGGCGCAGUAGAAAUGAAUCUGACUAGUAUCCAUGAGGAUGCUGGUUCAAUCCCUGACCUCACCCAGUGGGUUAAGGAUCUGGCUUUGCCAUGAAUUAUGGUGUAGUUUGCAGACACAGCUCAGAUCCCAUAUUGUUGUGGCUGUGGCUGUUGCUGGCAGCUGUAGUUCCGAUUCGACCCCUAGCCUGGAAACUUUCACAUGCCAUGGGUGCAGCCCUAAAAAGCCAAAAAGAAAAAAAAAAAUGAUGUUCUGGGAAGUCCUUAGUGAGUAGUUAAAAUUGGAGCUAAGAAGCAGGUCAAAGAGUUAGGGCAAAAGUCUUGAGGGGCCAAGAAUUGGGUACAGUCAAGGAAUACGAUAUAGGUGAUUGGAAAGUGUGAUAUGAGCUCUGGGAGGAGUUGGGUCCAGAACCUGUGGCACCCUGUGGCAAAAUAGGGGCCGGGCUGGUGCACAGCUGUUACUGUGGGACCUUUAGCUAGGGGGCUGUUAGUGAGCACACUCAGCCAAUGGUCCUUGUGUUUGGUAACAGCAGGACAUGGUGAAGAGGUGAAAUUUUAUUCUAAGUGUAAUGAAAAGCCAGAAAAAAAAAAUCUGUAAGACACUGAAGCUGGAGACUCUUUUUUCCUUUUUUUUUUUUUUUUUUGGUCUUUUGUCUUUUGUCCUUUUUAGGCCAGCACCUGUGGCAUAUAGAGGUUCCCAGGCUAGGGGUCUAAUUGGAGCUGUAGCCGCCAGCCUAUGCCACAGCCACAACAACACCAGAUCCAAGCUGCAUCUGUGACCUGUGCUACAGCUCAUGGGGACGCCAGGGCCUUAACCCACUGAGGGAGGCCAGGGAUGGAACCCGCAACCUCGUGGCUCCUAAUAGGAUUCGUUUCUGCUGCACCACGAUGGGAACUCCCUGGAGACUCCUUUUCCUACUCAAAUUUUCCCUGCCUCUGUGUGCUCCCAAGAGUAGAGAGAAAGAAAAAAAAAAA